UACGGAGGAUGCGAGCGUUAUCCGGAUUUAUUGGGUUUAAAGGGUGCGUAGGCGGGAUGCCAAGUCAGCGGUAAAAAUGCGGUGCUCAACGCCGUCGAGCCGUUGAAACUGGCGUUCUUGAGUGGGCGAGAAGUAUGCGGAAUGCGUGGUGUAGCGGUGAAAUGCGUAGAGAUAUGGAGGAACACCAGUGGCGAAGGCGGCUUCCUGGUCUGCAACUGACACCGAGGCGCGAAAGCGUGGGGAGCAAACAGG
rnacentral:rRNA from 1 species